UGGGGAAUAUUGCACAAUGGGCGCAAGCCUGAUGCAGCCAUGCCGCGUGUAUGAAGAAGGCCUUCGGGUUGUAAAGUACUUUCAGCGGGGAGGAAGGGAGUAAAGUUAAUACCUUUGCUCAUUGACGUUACCCGCAGAAGAAGCACCGGCUAACUCCGUGCCAGCAGCCGCGGUAAUACGGAGGGUGCAAGCGUUAAUCGGAAUUACUGGGCGUAAAGCGCACGCAGGCGGUUUGUUCAGUCGGAUGUGAAAUCCCCGGGCUCAACCUGGGAGCUGCAUUCGAAACUGGCAGGCUAGAGUCUGGUAAGGGAGGGUAGAAGUCCAGGUGUAGCGGUGGAAUGCGUAGGGAUCUGGAGGAAUAACGGUGGCGAAGGCGGCCCCCUGGACAAAGUCUGACGCUCAGGUGCGAAAGCGUGGGGAGGAAACAGG
rnacentral:rRNA from 1 species